rnacentral:rRNA from 1 species
UACUACCGAAGCUACGGCAUCAGUAAUGAUGGGUAGGGGAGCUUCCCAUACGGGUUGAAGCAUGACCGUAAGGACAUGUGGACAGUAUGGGAGUGAGAAUGUUGGCAUGAGUAGCGAGAUGUGGGUGGGAAUCCCACAGGCCGUAAACCCAAGGUUUCCAGGGGAAGGGUCGUCCGCCCUGGGUUAGUCGGGACCUAAGCUGAGGCCGAAAGGCGUAGGUGAUGGACAACAGGUUGAUAUUCCUGUACUACCGAUAACCGUUUGAGAGAAGGGAUGACACAGUAGGAUAAGCUAAGCACACUGUUGGUUAUGUGUGCCCAAGCAUUGAGG